CACUCUCUGCAGCUGACAGAUGUGAAAGGAGUUCCUGCAGGAGGAAUGAAAACCAGGCUCAGGAUUCCAGAAAAUAUCCUUCAUGUCCACCACUUUACACAAAGUCAUCAUUGAAGAGGUUAGGACAGAAACUCGGGCCAGAAACCCAAACAGGGUAUAGACCUGAACACAGGACAGCUGAAAAUGCCUGACAAUGUUGCCGCUUUCCAGGAAACUCGUAGGCACCACAGACCCCAGGUCAGUGUCUUGACCAACCAUCAUCAGAGAAGCUGUAGAUGGGAACAAAUACAGAGACCCACAACUGGACAAUGUGCAGAGAGCAAGACCACUGAACACUCCACCCUAAAUGAGGUGUCUCCAUCAAUUCUUUCCCCUUGUGUCGGAGGGAACACUUGUGUGUGAGAACACACUGUGAAAGAGGAUAUGAAAAGAUUGUAAGAACCAGAGGAGAUGAAAAACAUCAAUGAGACACUGCCACCUAAACACAGCAGGACCAAUGUACACAAGAGACUGUGGCAAGGUACACAGGGUCUGCACAGGCCUGGACCUAAUGGGGUCCCAGUGUCCUGAACCCCAAUUUAGAACCAGUUAAUAGACACUAGCAAAUGAAAAAUUAGUUUCUUUCAAUAGUGAGCUGGGUGCACAAACCACUCUUAAGUGUAGGCCCCA